CCGUUUUGGUGGGCUGGUUGAAGAUGAAAUCCACUGAGGAUGAAAGGCCUGGGUCUUCAGCACCCUAUGUGCCAGUCCAGAAUUGGUCCAUCUACAGACCCCCUGAAAAUCAACUGGGCUUGGAUUUGGACAUUCUCAAUAGAAAGGGUUAAAGGCUGAUGGGACCUAAAGCCUGGUACUUGAAUUUUGAUCAAGAUGAACUGUCUUAAGUUCUCUUCACUACACAGAUGAUCUUAGGUAAUUGACAGAUCCCGCGGUUCAACUUGGUUUCUGGAUAGAAGCUGGAUUCAUGUGAUGCCAGAUAAGUAAAAUUUCAAGAGACCAAAACCAGAUCUGAGUCUCCCUGUUCCAUUCCGGACCUCUUUGGUGCUGUAACUCCUGGAUAUACAGUAGACGAUUACUGCAUUUUAUGGAAGCCGGAGCGGCCCUCAGCAACUCCCCGCAGCCUGGCAGGUCCCAGGAUGCUUCGGGGCAACCCCGCGCUUGCGUGCUCUGGCGUAGUUCCCUGACGCCCUCCCGCGCAGAGAAUCCUGGAAUCUUCGCUUGUGGCGCUGUGGAGGACUCUCUUAGCUUCUGGAGACCUCACUAUCCUAUUAUGUCUUUGUGUGAAGAUAUGCUGCUUUGUAAUUAUCGAAUCUCUCUGGCUAUGCAUGGGUCACUGCCUGUUCUCACAUCUUCUGUGAUCAGCAUGGCAGCGGUGAGUUUAGUCGCUCACCAGCUAUCUGUCCUGCCUGCUAGAUAUUGUCCGCACAGAACUCAGUCCGUCAGAGGAAUAUAAAGCUACGGUAUUGGCAGGACUGCGACCAGAGAUCGUGUUGGACAUUAGCUCCCGAGCACUGGCCUUCUGGACAUACCAGGUACAUCAGGAACGUCUCUAUCAAGAAUACAAUUUCAGCAAGGCUGAGGGCCAUCUGAAACAGAUGGAGAAGAUAUAUACUCAGCAAAUACAAAGCAAGGAUGUAGAAUUGACCUCUGUGAAAGGGGAGGUCACCUCCAUGAAGAAAGUGCUAGAAGAAUACAAAAAAAAGUUCAGUGACAUCUCUGAGAAACUUAUGGAGCGCAAUCGUCAGUAUCAAAAGCUCCAAGGCCUCUAUGAUAGCCUUAGGCUAUGAAAUAUCACUAUUGCUAACCAUGAAGGCACCCGUGAACCAUCCAUGACUGCACAGUCUGGUGUUUUUGGCUUCCCCUUAGGUAACAACUCCAAGUUUCCUUUGGAUAGAUCACCUGUUCGAAAUCGGGGAGAUGGAGAUGGAGAUUUUCAGUUCAGACCAUUUUUUGUAGGUUCUCCCACAGCACCUGAACCCAGCAACAGCUUUUUUAGUUUUGCCUCUCCAAGUCGUGAAUUAGAGCACCAGCAAGUUUCUAGCAGGGCCUUCAAAGUAAAAAGAAUUUGAGCCAGUUAUGGUUUCACACACCUGUGAUCCCAGCUACUUAGGGGGCUGAGCCUGGGAGGAUCACUUGAGCUCAGGAGUCUAAGGCUAUAGUGAUCUAAGAUCAUGCCACUGCACUCCAGCUUAAGCAACAGAAUGAGACCCUGUUUCUUAAAAAAAAAAAAAAAGUGAAAGGUAAUUUAGCCAACUUUACAGAAUGUUUCUAUGUUCACCUUCAGUGAUUACAUUUAGCAAGUCCUUUUUCUAGAUAGGACUCCCGAAGCCUCCCUGUGCUUUUAAGUCUCUGAAGUUGUCUUCACAUUAUCAACAUAACCAACUCAGCAGUGGUGAGUGGUUUAGAGUCUGGUUUCUUUGUUUCAUUAUUUAAAGCAUGAGCAUUUUAUUAAUCUCAAUUCCAUUGUGAACUGCUGAAUUUUCAUCCCUAGUGAGAAGGUUACAAUAGCAUUUGUUUCAAUGGAUAACUGUUUCUUUAUGGGCUGUUUCUGACUGAGCUGUGUUGUUUACGCCUUAAGUACCUGUGUUAUAUGCUACAUGUCACUUUGAAUUCUGGUAUUUAUACAUGUCUAUAUAUGUAAGCAUAUUAAUUUCCAGUGUUAUUUUGCUGUAUUUGCCAGUAUGUUUAUAUAAAAUUUUGGUCUUGGAAAAUGGUGGGUGCUAUGUGGCUUGUUAUUUGGGUAUGUGUAUUUAUUUGUAUAUAUUUAUGUAUUUACCUUUAUAUUAACUUGUUUGGAGGUAUGCUUAUGUCAGUGUAUGAGAGUACAAUUUGAUACAUGUAUGUUCAGUCCCCAUUUGUAUUUAAGAAUAACUCACAUUGCUAAAGUUAUUUUUUAAAGUUGAUUUUUUUGGCGUUUAUGGUUGGCCCUCUGUCCACAUGUUCUGCAUCUGCAAAUUUAGACAACCAUCUAUCAAAAAUAUUCAAGAAAAAAAAUAAAAAAUAAUCUAACAUAAAAAAUACAAAUUAAAAACCAAUACUGUAAAACAACAAUUUGGAUAGCAUUUACAUAGUAGGUAUUAUCAAUAAUUUAGAGGUGAUUUAAAGUAUUUGGAAGAGUCUGUAGGUUAUAUGCAAAUACGAUGCCAUUUUAUAAAAGCGACAUAAGCAUCCAAGGAUUUUGGUAUCCAUGAGGGUUCCUGGAACCAGUCCCCCAGAGAUACCAAAGGACGCUAUUUUAAAAUAAAGCUACUUCUUUCUUUACCUUUUUGUCAACUGUUGCCUUGGGUUUACUUAUUUAGGAAUGCACUUCUGCCGAAAGUUUACCAACGUGUUACUGCUCUCAAGAGACUGUAUUAAAAUAAUUUAAAAGAUUA